rnacentral:rRNA from 1 species
AAUCAACGCUGGCGGCGUGCCUCAGACAUGCAAGUCGAACGAUUAAGACUGCCUUCGGGAAGUGCAUAAAGUGGCGCACGGGUGAGUAACACGUAAGUAAUCUACCCUCGAGUGGGGAAUCACAUCGGGAAACCGAUGAUAAUACCGCAUAAUGCAGCGGCACAGCAAGGUGACAGUUGGUAAAGGAGCAAUUCGCUUGAGGAGGAGCUUGCGGCUGAUUAGCUUGUUGGUAAGGUAACGGCUUACCAAGGCUACGAUCUGUAUCCGGUCUAAGAGGGCGGUCGGACACACUGACACUGAAUAACGGGUCAGACUCCUACGGGAGGCAGCAGUCGGGAAUUUUGGGCAAUGGGCGAAAGCCUGACCCAGCAACGCCGCGUGAAGGAUGAAGUAUUUCGGUAUGUAAACUUCGAAAGAAUGGGAAGAAUAAAUGACGGUACCAUUUAUAAGCUCCGGCUAACUACGUGCCAGCAGCCGCAGUAAGAC